rnacentral:lncRNA from 1 species
UCCUUUUUUGGUUAUUCUCUGUCUUUCUACUGAAUAUUUUGUAACUUUUGGUAUCCAAGCCAGAAAGAGAGUUUUCGAUAUCUAUUGUAAGUGUUGGUACUGCAUACUGAGUUAUUUUUGUAGUACUAUUGCAGUAGCAAAAAUUACGGCCUCUGAAAAUUUUGUUCAGCCUGCUAUUCCAAGCUUCGAUGGUCAUUACGACCAUUGGAGCAUGUUGAUGGAGAAUUUCCAUAGGUCCAAG